rnacentral:rRNA from 1 species
AGCGAACGUUUGCGGCGGGCCUAACACAUGCAAGUCGAACGAUAACCCAGCUUGCUGGGGGAAAGUGGCGCACGGGUGCGUAACACGUGGGUAAUCAACCCUUUGGAUCGGGACAACCCGGGGAAACUCGGGCUAAUACCGGAUAAGUCGUGGGAGUCUUCGGGCACCCACGGGAAAGGCCCGCAAGGGCUACCAUUGGACGAGCUCGCGGCCCAUCAGCUUGUUGGUGAGGUAAUGGCUCACCAAGGCUAAGACGGGUAGCUGGUCUGAGAGGAUGAUCAGCCACACUGGGACUGAGACACGGCCCAGACUCCUACGGGAGGCAGCAGUGGGGAAUAUUGCGCAAUGGGGGCAACCCUGACGCAGCCAUGCCGCGUGUGUGAAGAAGGCCUGGUUGU